GUGCGCCCUUCGCCAGCACGUAUACAAAAAUCGUAAUGAUACAGAGGUUAGCGUGGCCCCUGCGUAAGGAUGACUCGCAAAUUUGUGAAGCGUUCUAUAAAUAU
ensembl:snRNA U6 U6 spliceosomal RNA